rnacentral:rRNA from 1 species
UACGUAGGGUGCGAGCGUUGUCCGGAAUUAUUGGGCGUAAAGGGCUCGUAGGCGGUUUGUCGCGUCGGGAGUGAAAACCAGGUGCUUAACACCUGGCUUGCUUUCGAUACGGGCAGACUAGAGGUAUGCAGGGGAGAACGGAAUUCCUGGUGUAGCGGUGAAAUGCGCAGAUAUCAGGAGGAACACCGACGGCGAAGGCAGGUCUCUGGGCAUUAACUGACGCUGAGGAGCGAAAGCAUGGGGAGCGAACAGG